rnacentral:lncRNA from 10 species
AAAGGUUGAACACCAGCUAGAUUUUUGGAGAAAGGGUAGCAGUUAUUGGCCAGGCCUGGAAGAGCAGUACAAGAAUGACAAGUAGAGAGUACAGAAUGUACAAAGGCAAACAGGGAGUGUAUACAAAGCUCUGCAAGGAUUGGCUGCAGUGAACAACUUGUUCAUUCAUCUAUUUAACAAGCAUUUAUUCAGUGCUUACUAUCUCAGGAACUGUUACGACACCAGUAGUGAGCAAUGCACAUAUUUCAGUGUGUCCAGAUUACAAUGGUUAUGGAGAAUAUGUAUCCUCUGCUGAUGCUCCCAUGUGGCUUUGUGUCUAACAAUGAUCCAUAGCCAGGAUACCCACAGACAUGCUGAUCAGCCAGCAGAUGCUCCCCUCUUGCAC